AAGAGGAAAAAGAGAAAAAAAGGAGGACGGUGAUGGUGAGGAAGUGGUAGUGGAGAGAGAAUGUAUUUUACCUGAGGGAUCCUAGAGGUCCACGUUUUGACAGUUUCCAGAACUGGUGCAUUUGAGGUUGUAACAGCAAAACCAGUUUUUAUACAUGACCUGUUAUAGAGGCUGAAAGUCCAAGAUCAAGGUACUGGGAAGUUUGCUUUCUCCUGAGGCCUAUCUCCUUGGCUUGCAGAUGAUCACCUUCCUGCUACUUCUUCACAGCACCAUCACACUGUGUAUAUGUGUACCUGGAUUCUCUUAGACUGGAUGUCCUAAUCAACUCUUGUCAUAAGGACAGCAGUCAGUUUGAAUUAAGGCCCACACUAAGGGUCUCAUUUUAUCAUUAUUACCACUUUAAAUGCCCAGCAUACGAAUAAAGUCACAUUAUGAGCU